UUAAGCAAGAAAACAAAAAAUCAAAUUUAUUUUGAUUACAUUGACUUCUGAUCUGUGACUACAUUGUUGUAGAUUUAUUAAGUAGAUAAUAAUGAAUAAAAAGGAGCAUAUUAUGAACAUUUAAAAUAUAAUCAAUAAAAAUGUACAUCAUCUAAUAACUUUGUAAACUCAUUCAAUCCAUACCUCUAGCAUCUACAUCUCAAACAUUUUCAUUUUUUUAUCUCUAAAUAAUUUGUAAAAAAAAAUUACUCUCUUGUGCUAAGAAAACAAAAAGUAAGGGUACCGCUAACUAUUAAGAAAUGUUACUCUUAGUUUCCUAAAUGAAACUGUUAAACAUCAACUCAAUUCAAGCUCCAAUCAUCACACUUGAUUAGGACAUCACAGUAACUAUAAAUGUAGCCAAAACUUUAAUCUCUCUUAUGCAAAAAACUUAAGUUGAUGUAAAUGGUAUUGUUUAAGUUAAACAGUUUUUUUUUAAGCCAUAGUCCUGGACAAAAAAAUAUUUUUUUCUUUUAACAUGUGCUGGAAUGCAUUUCUGAAAACCUACCUGAGUGGGUCUCAAAUAAAAAUGACAUGUUCCAGCAUCACGCAAACUUGUCAUUUAAAUAUUAUUGUCAAUGAUGUCAUACUUUAAAAUAUCUAUAAAAAAAAAAUAUGUUUAACAAUGUAAUCAUGACCUGAAAUAUCAAAGAUUUUAUUUUUGUUUCAUCUUAUGUGGACACUCAUGAGAACUGCUACAACAUGGCGAGUUACAAAAUUUAGAGCAUUGAUAUCAAGGGAGUUUAUCAGUUAAUGCCAUUUAUCUUUGCUCUAAUUAGUUGACACACAUGCCUUCCAUGAGCAUUUAGAUUGCAACUCA